ACGGAAGGCAGCAGUGGGGAAUAUUGCGCAAUGGGGGAAACCCUGACGCAGCAACGCCGCGUGAAGGAAGAAGGUCUUCGGAUUGUAAACUUCUGUCUUAUGGGACGAAGAAUGACGGUACCAUAGGAGGAAGCCACGGCUAACUACGUGCCAGCAGCCGCGGUAAUACGUAGGUGGCAAGCGUUAUCCGGAUUUACUGGGUGUAAAGGGCGUGUAGGCGGGAUAGCAAGUCAGAUGUGAAAUACCGAGGCUUAACUUCGGGGCUGCAUUUGAAACUACUGUUCUUGAGUGUCGGAGAGGAAAGCGGAAUUCCUAGUGUAGCGGUGAAAUGCGUAGAUAUUAGGAGGAACACCGGUGGCGAAGGCGGCUUUCUGGACGAUAACUGACGCUGAGGCGCGAAAGCGUGGGUAGCAAACAGGAUUAGAUACCCUGGUA
rnacentral:rRNA from 1 species